UACGGAGGGUGCAAGCGUUAUCCGGAUUCACUGGGUUUAAAGGGUGCGUAGGAGGGCAGGUAAGUCAGUGGUGAAAUCUCCGAGCUUAACUCGGAAACUGCCAUUGAUACUAUCUGUCUUGAAUUAUCUGGAGGUAAGCGGAAUAUGUCAUGUAGCGGUGAAAUGCUUAGAUAUGACAUAGAACACCAAUUGCGAAGGCAGCUUACUGGGGAUUUAUUGACACUGAGGCACGAAAGCGUGGGGAUCAAACAGG
rnacentral:rRNA from 1 species